UCGGAUCAUUAAGAUAACUCAUU
rnacentral:snRNA from 1 species